AUUGAACGCUGGCGGCAGGCCUAACACAUGCAAGUCGAACGAGCGGCGGACGGGUGCGUAAUGUUUGGGGACUGCCCGUUAGAGGGGGAUAAAUCCUGGAAACGGUAUCUAAUACCGCGUACUAUAGGAUUACCCAUAGGGGAUUAGCUAGUAGGUGAGGUAAUGGCUCACCUAGACGACUAUCCCUAGCUGGUCUGAGAGGAUGAUCAGCCACACUGGGACUGAGACACGGCCCAGACUCCUACGGAGGCAGCAGUGGGGAAUAUUGCACAAUGGGCGCAAGCCUGAUGCAGCCAUGCCGCGUGUAUGAAGAAGGCCCUAGGGUUGUAAAGUACUUUCAGUCGGGAGGCGUUACCGACAGAAGAAGCACCGGCUAACUCCGUGCCAGCAGCCGCGGUAAUUC
rnacentral:rRNA from 1 species